rnacentral:rRNA from 1 species
UACAGAGGGUGCAAGCGUGUUCGGAAUUAUUGGGCGUAAAGCGCGUGUAGGCGGCUUUGCAAGUCGGGUGUGAAAGCCCCCGGCUCAACUGGGGAGGGUCACUCGAUACUGAUCGAUUCGAAGGCAGGAGAGGGAAGCGGAAUUCCCGGUGUAGUGGUGAAAUGCGUAGAUAUCGGGAGGAACACCAGUGGCGAAGGCGGCUUUCUGGCCUGCUCUUGACGCUGAGGCGCGAAAGCUAGGGUAGCAAACGGG